UUUCAUGUAGUUUUCCUGCACUCUCAUGUGAAUUUGCAUCCGUUGACGUGAGUGAUGUGUUGGGAACAAACAGAUUGAAUAUAACGAAAACAAUUCGCAAGUUCUCUAUAGGUCCAGAUUUAAAACCCACCGGCUCUGAGUUCCACUCAGGACCCGCUUUACAUGACAUUAAGCAUGGGGAUGGUGAUGAAUAUGCUGGUGAUGGCUCUGUUUCACUAACCGCUCGAACUUUUGAAAAGUUUACUCACCAGCAUCCAAUUUUGGUUGUUAAUUUUUAUGCUCCUUGGUGCUACUGGAGCAAUCGCCUGAAACCUUCAUGGGAGAAGGCCGCCAAAAUAAUAAGAGAAAGAUAUGAUCCAGAAAUAGAUGGGCGUAUUCUUUUGGCGAAAGUAGAUUGUACUGAAGAAGGUGACUUGUGUAAGAGGUAU